GUAUGCUAAAUUGCUUUCAUAUAACAUUUGCAGAAGUUAAUGUCCGAAUUAAAAAUGGUAUUAUUGGUGGAAGCUGGAAGCUAACCUUUGCUACUUUCUGUAACAUUAACGUUAGCAUAAAUUAGCCAGCGCUAGCUUUAUUUUUUUACACCUGAAAGGGGUUUGAAAAAUAAAUUUACUGAGAAACGUUUGGACAAUUAAUGAAAACGACUUGUAAUGACCAAUUUAACCUGUCUCCCUGCCAUAUUUGGUAGUAUAUUUGCCUCUGGCAUGUAGAUUGAUAGGCAUAGAUAGAAGCUAUCUUAUGAUUUGUCAUGCAAGACAGAAAAUGUAACGGUUAACAUUACUAGGCUAAGGUGUAGACAUUCUAUGCACUGUGGUUUAGCUAGCUAGCUGCUAUUGUUGCAUCAUGGACAACACUUAGAGCUAACAUUAGCUUUUUUUUUUUUUAGAUAGGAUGUAAUGUUAUGUGCUGGAGAGUAUUAGAGUGGACGUGUAGAAAUUGAAGACACAAGUACUGUGCUUAAUUUCAUGGAAAUGGUAUUGCAAGUAAUGUGUUUUGUUUUUGUGCACUAUCAAACUACUUUGUCAUGCUUUGUGCACUGACAUUCUUGCAAAACCAUUCACACCCAUGCUAAAUUAUGAAAAUGUAAAAGUUGAAUUGUAUUGAAAAGGACCAUGUAUGGUCAUGUAGUGCAUUUGAGCACUGACACCCCUUUUUUUUACAUUUUAGAGAGGCAACACUCGAAAGCUACAUCAAGGACACCGGAGGAUGGACCCGAAGACCUGAGACCAAGACGACCCAAGCCCAACCCAUAGUAUGCUUCACUGACAAAUGUUGAUGCUUCAUCAUCACAUAGACCAAAGGUUUCAGAGAAGGCUGGUAGAGCUCUCUAUGAGUGUGAGCUGUGGGAGAUAACCAAGAACUGACAACCACCUACAGAAGAGGUGGCGAUAAUGGCUCUCCAAGAGGAGGUUGUGAGUCUGAAGGCUUUUAUUCAACAAGGAGGCACUUAGAGGGAAUGCCUGGACCCUGAGAGGACUAAGACGAUAAUUGAGGCCACCCUGAAGCAGUUCCCAGGCUAGACACUCACUCCAGAUUGCUGGGCCAGGCAAUAAAUGCCAAAGUGACAGAACUGAGGUUCCAUAACAAAAACAACAAGAUUUUCAAUAAAAUAGAAUAAAAGAUAA